GUCCUCUUGCUGUGCAGAUGCCGCCCUGCUCUCGUCAGCCUCCACAAGGCCGUCUCCCUAAGACCCAGCACGAUGCCUUCAAUUAAGUUGCAGAGUUCUGAUGGAGAGAUAUUUGAAGUUGAUGUGGAGACUGCCAAACAAUCUGUGACUAAUAAGACCAUAUUGGAAGAUUUGAGAAUGGAUGAUGAAGGAGAUGAUGACCUAGUUCCUCUCCCAAAUGUCAAUGCAGCAAUUUUUAAAAAGGUCUUUCAGUGGGGCACUCACCACAAAGAUGACCCUCCUCCUCCCGAGGAUGAUGAGAACAAAGAAAAGUAAACAGAUGAUACCCCUGUUUGGGAUCAAGAACUCCUGAAAAUUGAUCAAGGAACACUUUUUGAACUUAUUCUGGCUGCAAACUACUUAGACAUCAAAGAUUUGCUUGAUGUUACUUGCAAGACUGUUGCCAGUAUGAUCAAGGGGAAAACUCCUGAGGAAAUUUGCAAGACCAUCAAUAUCAAAAACGACUUUACUGAAGAAGAGGAAGCCCAGGUAUGCAAAGAGAACCAGUGGUGUGAAGAGAAGUGAAAUGUUGUGCCUGACACAGUAACACUGUAAGGAUUGUUUCAAAUACUAGUUGCACGGCUCUAUUUAUAAUUGUUAAUAUUAGACAAACAGUAGACAAAUGCAGCAACAAAUCAGUUGUAUUAGCAGAACAUUGUCCUCAUUGCAUGUGUAGUUUGAGUACAGAUUCCAAGCCUAUGGCUGAGUUUCUUCUAGUACAACCGAAAGUCUCUUUUUUCUUUGCUCUGAAUAAAACUGCUGUGGGUUCUCUAUAGAAAGUGGCAUUUUGGGCUUUCCCUCUUUUUUUGUAAAGUAAUGUCUGCCUAGUUUAUUGUCCAGUUAACUUUAGUGAUCUUUUAAAAGUUGGCAUUGUAAAUAAAACAACUUGCAAGAGUGUUCUGAAGUAGAAU